CCUACGGGAGGCAGCAGUGAGGAAUAUUGGUCAAUGGACGAAAGCCUGAACCAGCCAAGUAGCGUGCAGGAUGACGGCCCUAUGGGUUGUAAACUGCUUUUAUACGGGAAUAACGCGCCUUACGUGUAGGGCUUUGUAUGUACCGUAUGAAUAAGGACCGGCUAAUUCCGUGCCAGCAGCCGCGGUAAUACGGAAGAUCCGAGCGUUAUCCGGAUUUAUUGGGUUUAAAGGGAGCGUAGGCGGAAUGUCAAGCGUGUUGUGAAAUGUCCGGGCUCAACCCGGGCCUUGCAGCGCGAACUGGCGUGCUUGAGUCCGCGGAAGGCAGGCGGAAUUCGUGGUGUAGCGGUGAAAUGCUUAGAUAUGACGAAGAACUCCGAUUGCGAAGGCAGCUUGCUGCAGCGGAACUGACGCUGAUGCUCGAAAGCGUGGGUAUCGAACAGGAUUAGAUACCCUUGUAGUC
rnacentral:rRNA from 1 species